ensembl:snoRNA
AUCCUUCCUGGUCAUUGAACAUGAUGAAUGGGUCAAUCUCGCGAGCUGCGUGAGAUGUGUCUCCCCUUACUCUUGUUACGCAAUGGCACAUUACCCGUCUGACU